GGAGAGGUGGCUGAGUGGUCGAAAGCGGCCGACUCGAAAUCGGUUAUACCUUUUUGGUAUCGGGGGUUCGAAUCCUCUCCUCUCCGCCA
rnacentral:tRNA from 1 species